UACAGAGGGUGCAAGCGUUAAUCGGAAUUACUGGGCGUAAAGGGCCUGUAGGUGGUUUCUUAAGUUAGAUGUGAAAGCCCUGGGCUCAACCUGGGAACUGCAUCUAAAACUGGGUGACUAGAGUAUGGUAGAGGGAAGUGGAAUUUCUAGUGUAGCGGUGAAAUGCGUAGAUAUUAGAAAGAACACCAGUGGCGAAGGCGACUUCCUGGACCAAUACUGACACUGAGGGGCGAAAGCGUGGGGAGCAAAC
rnacentral:rRNA from 1 species